GCAUGGGAUUGGAUUUAUGGGGGGCCCCGUUCCCAUGGGUCUCUCAUAGUGCCCCAUGCCAGAGCAACCUGUGGCCGCGAACCAUGGCCUGGCCUCCGCCCGUAGGCCGCAGGCCCUGAAGCAGGUUACACAGCG